ensembl:lncRNA
CUAUUUAGAAGCGAGCGCAAGAGUUCUCCUUGGCUUUUAUCAGUCAGCUCCUACCACUUUCAGACACAGUACAGGCUUAAGGUGAAUCUCUAUUGUGUUAACCAUGCGAUCUCAGGAAACCAACAAUGAAGUGACCAAAUUAGGGACUACCUACUACACGGUGAUGGAGAGGGCCCUCUUAACACCCCGUGAAAAAUACAGCGAGCCUAUCACCGAUAGCAUGAACAUUGGAUGGCAUGUCAACAAGGAGAACACAGCAGAGGCUUCAGUUCAAAGGAAAUUCAGAAGGCGGGUCACUGAUGUUACCAGUUUUUCGAGCAAUUUUCCCAUGUGCCGCCAGCAUAGUCCUCCCCCAAGGAAGACCACCGCCGAUCACCCACGCCCCGUCAUGGGGCGGGCCCCCAAAACCAGCACAGACUGGAGGACAGCAGACCCCAAAGCACCAGCCCCACCAGCUACCCAUUACAAUAUGAUGGAGAGGGCCCGCUUAACGCCCCAUGAAAAAUACACCCAGCCUAUCACCAUGAACAUGAACUAUGGAUGGCAUGUCACCAAUGAGAACACAGCAGAGGCUUCAGCCCAAAGGAGAUUCAGAAAGAGGACCACUUGUUACUGAUCCAUUUCCCAAGUGUUCAUAAGUGGAGGUUCCUCUUCACCGUCACUGAUGCCCAUGUUGAAAUGUUGGGAG